rnacentral:lncRNA from 1 species
UCGUCGGUCCCCAGCCCCAUCCCCGUGGGUCCCAUCCCAUCCCUGCAGCUCCCCGUGGGUCCCAUCUCAUCCUUAUGGGUCCUAUCUCAUCCCUGAAGGUGCCCAUGGGUCCCAUCCCAUCCCUAUGGGUCCCAUCCAUGUCCCCGUGGGUCCUGUCCCAUCCCUGUGGGUCCUGUCCUGUCCCCAUGGGUCCCAUCUCAUCCCUAUGGGUCCCAUCCCAUCCCUGCAGGUCCCAUCCAUGUCCCCGUGGGUCCUGUCCCAUCCCCGUGGGUCCCAUCUCAUCCUUAUGGGUCCUAUCUCAUCCCUGCAGGUGUCCAUGGGUCCCAUCCCAUCCCUGUGGGUCCCAUCCCAUCCCUGCAGGUCCCAUCCACAUCCCUGUGGGUCCCAUCCCAUCCCUGCAGGUCCCAUCCACAUCCCUAUGGGUCCCAUCCCAUGCCUGCAGGUCCCCAUGGGUCCCAUCCAUGCCCUGUGGGUCCCAUCCAUGUCCCCGUGGGUCCCAUCUCAUCCCUAUGGGCCUCAUCCCAUGCCUGCAGGUCCCCAUGGGUCCCACCCUGUCCCCGUGGGUCCCGCCCCGUCCCCACGGGUCCCCGGCGCCCACCGGUGAUCUUGUCGCGGACCAGCUUGCAGGACUCGAUGUCGCCGAUGCUGCCGAAGAGGCUCUUGAACUCCUCCUGGCUCAUGUUCUGGGGCAGGUAGUUGACG